rnacentral:lncRNA from 1 species
AGGUCCAAUAUCAUAAAUGCAAUUUUGUGAAAACUUCGACAAUUUAGUGACCUAUUCAGAUAUUUGAAACACUCUAAGUCUUCUUUUUUUUUUAAUUUAAACAUAUUUUAUUAAUAAUCACCUGUUACAUCAACCCUUAGUUGUCCAGGGAAGCAACUAAGGGGUCCCCGAUUUUUACAGUCUCAUUUGUCGGGGGGAAAGCAAAUGAGAAAAAAAACUUCCAUUAUAGAUUAUUACCAUCUAUCUUUAUAAAUAUCGUCUAUCCUUGUACAAAUGUGCAUGUAAAUGUGAGUAUUAUCGAUAUAUAUUUUUAAAAUUUAAUUUUUGAUGUAACGCGUCUUCUGAUUGGCUGACGUUAUUUUGUUAUGAGCCCAUAGACAUAAUUUAGUCAUGUGACCGUGACGUCAUCAACGUUUUUCAUGGUUUUCUACGGUUAAAAAUGGAAUUUAGAAUUAAUUAUAAGAAAUGUCGAAAUAACGUAAAAAAUGUGGUGCACACUGUUAAAUAACCCGCUACCCGCGUUAUUCAUGUGCACCACAUUAUUAUGUUAUUUUUCAUAGACAGAAAAAAUUAUUUCAGUCAUUCCUUAAAUACCUCACAACAUAUAUAAUAUUGAAUAAAGUAUAAAUUCUAUUGGAUUUGUUCCCGCCAAGAGCUACCUGCAUUUAUUAA